ensembl:lncRNA
AAAUGUUUGUGUUUCCUCAUAAAUCCUAAAUUCAUAAUAAAAAACAAAAUUUUUAAAAGUCAGGGCUCUAUACAUUUGUAGUAGUAAAUGAGUGUUAGAAGUAGGAAAAAAUGAUGUACAAGAGAGUUCUUGAAACUCACAAAAUGAAAAAAAAUUCUAAAAUGAUGAUGAUAACAAUACAUAUUUUUAUAACAUUUCCAAAUUUACAAAGUCCUUUCCAUAAACAGUUUAUGUCCUAACAAUCCUUCAUGAUAGAUGUUAGUGAUCUCAAAUUAAGCUUAAUUGGCCUCUGAUUUGUCUUCCAGGUCUAGAACUAAUAUCCUAUUACUGAUCCAGAGGCACCAAGUUAGCAAGGAUUGGAGGGUAGAUUUGAAUUGAUGUCUUCCUUACUCCAAAUCUAUGCUUCCUUCAAAAUUUCACCUUCUUCAAGAAAGCUUUUCCUGAUCCCCAUUAAUGCUAUUGUCUUUUAUUAAUUAUCAUCAACUUAUCCUAUGUACAUCUUGUUUGUAUAUAGCCAUUUUCAUAUCAUCUCUUUCAUUUAAGCCUUGAGAGUGAGAAUAUUUUGAUCUUUUUAUCGCCAAUAUCUGAUACAUAGUAGUCAUUUAAUAAAGGCUUAUUGACUGACUGACUAUGGCAUGCUGAAUAUACAAUUUCUAGGUAGUCUUCCUUAUUAAAUGCAACAUAUAUGCUAAUACUUUCCCCUAUCUGUAGAAAUAAAAAUAUAUCCAUUUGUACAUGCAUAUGUACAUUGUAUACUUUGAAUUAUGAAAUCUAUCCCAUGCUCCCAGCUAAUGUUGAAAGCAAGCUUUCUUAUUGAGACUAUAAAUAUACACAUGCUUGCAGAAUACUUUCCCAAAUCAUCCUGAUGGUCACUUUGUUACACUGGUCAGGACAGCCCAUCUACCCAGCAGUAUAUCUGGCAGACUUAUUCGUGUCUGUGACUUUGAUCAUGCCCCUGUGUAGAAAGAUUUCAACUGAUUGGUUUGAUGAAAAGUUACUAUAGAAACAAUUUUCAAAAUGGUUUUUCUGCCCUACAUAUACACACAGCCAGAAUCUCACAUUUUUUAAAAAUUUUCCUCUGGUAUCAAGAAUAAAACUUACACAUCAUGAUGACUCUCCAUUUAUUAUUAGCUGUAACAGCAGCUAAUAACAGCAGAAAACUUUUUUCAUGACUAAAAAGAAAAUCAAUAUUUGUUCCAAAUCACUUAAAAAUAAUGAAACUAAUAUUCAGAUCAGUCUACAGAUUUCUAAUUGAAUAUAUAUUGCUUACUUCUUAUUAUUAGUAUCAGAAAAAUAUAAAGCAUUCUUACAAUUUUUUUUCUUUCAAAAUAAACACCACUAAAUAUUCUUUAAAUCUCUUUUAUGACUGAUUUCAUUGAAAGGUCAGUAGGCUAUUAGGCAGGAUAUGUUGACAAAUAGUGACUUUUAUCUCUGUAAUUUUAAUAAAUCCAUGAAUAGACUUGGUCACUUAUUAAAACAACUGAGCAGAAUGCCCUCUGUGUGUACAUCAGGACAAGUAGUCUAAUGAAGUUUAGCUCUUCUGUGAAUAUUUGGCUGGGCUUAAUUAAAAUUCAGCCCUGCAUUUGAACAAGCCACAGUGGAUUGGCAGACCUUCAAAGGGUUAGGCUGCAGCAAACAAUACAAGUGAUAAAAGCCCACAAUAACAUCCAGUAGCAUGCAAAUGGUCUUGUUACUCACACAUCCAGUAGAAAGUUGUGCCUUAAAGUCUUUUCCACCAUCUUUGCUGUUGACAUUUUGAAAUUUCAUAUUUUAAAAUUUGGUACUUUUUGCUCACCAUCCCCUUAUCAACAUAUUACUUAAUUCUACUCCUAAUUGAAUGAAACAAAAUGUUACUGAGAUAAAUCAAUGCAACAUAAAUCCUUUUUAUUUUACUACCCAUGUUUUAUUUGUUUCUCAAACAGAUUACAAAUUGCAAAAUGUGUUUUUUACUUAAAAGAAAAACAGAGCACUAAAUCUAGGCAGUGCACAUUUGUCUGAACCACACCAGGAAACAGAAAUGAUUCUUAGCAAUGAUCCUUUUUAUUCUGUUCCCUGUUUUUGGCUGUCUGCCCCCAGGACCAGAUUUUCCAACAAACUGCCAUCUGGCUUGGCCCCUACCCCCCACAUAUAGUCUUCAGCAGGGUCAGACAUCUCCUUAAAGGCAGCUAGAGAAUGUCUACUUUUCUGGGGCAUCUAGGAAUAAGGAUAUAGAAAUUCCAUUAUGUAAAAUUUAUGUAGCCAAGAGUAAAUUCUUAACAACCUAUUAGUACAAUUUCCAUUAAUUGGGUGGUUCUCUGAAGUGUAUUGGAAAUAUCUAAUGAGUAGAACUAGCUUUGCAGUCAAGUUUCUAGUUUGUGUAACUGCCUAUUUAGCAAACUUAUGUGACUCACUUCACAUCUGUUAAAAUGGAAAUAAAAAUACCUCAACUCAUCAAUUUUGAGAGAAAGAACAUAAAAUAUGAUACCAUGUGCAAACAUUUAAAGAUAAAACUGCCUUACAAAUUUAAGGUAAAAAUAUUAUUUGUAGAUAGCCAGGUAACCUUGUGGAUAUAGCAUUGAACCUGGAAUCAGGAAGAUUGUACUUCACAUCUGACCUCAGAAAGCUAUUAAAACUGUGAACCGGCCAAGUUACAUAAUCUCUCUCAUAAUUCAGUUUUUUCAUCUUUAAAAUGGAAAUGACCUUAGUGCCUUUCUCUCUGUGUUGUAAGAAUAUAAAAUAAUUUAAGAAUCUGAAAAUACUCUGUAAAUGCUAAAUCUCUAAGAUUACGCAACAUUAUGGCAACAUCACUGACAUAGAAAAUUUGUUGUAAUAUUAUAACAUUUUUUAAGGUUCUUUAUGUAUUUCUAUUAUUAUGUAAUAGAUAUCAAAAUUCAACUUUGGGAGGCAAAAACAAGUUUUGCCAAGUUUUACUUUAAUAUCCUUCAGUUUACAUGUGUGCUGUUGCACACAUAGCAUAGCUCUGUGAUUAUUUUCAUCAUGUGUUUAAAAUUCUUGUUUCUUUCUAUGAGGUGGGACAAUUUAAUCAAAAAAUGUUUUGCUGCUUUCUAACUUUUAUGAAAGAUCAUUCAUUUAUUAAACACUAACUAUGCACAAAGUACUAUGACAGGUGCUUUGGAUAGCAAUAUACAAGAAAGCAAAAAUUUAGAACAAAACAAGCAAAGAAUGUAUUUUUGUUUUCAGGGGCUUAUAAUGGCGAUAGAAAGGUUGCAAAUAGCUUUAAACCCAAACAAGGAAUAUUCUGUUUGGCCAUGGAAUUAAAAGCAAACCACUGAAAUUUACUGAGUAAAGAGAAGACAAGGUUAUACUUGUGCUGUAGGAAGAAUAUUUUGUGAACUGAGUGGAAGAUAGAGUAUAAUAGGAAGAGACUUGAGGCAGAGAUCAACAAGAAGUCUAUUGCUAAGGACUAGCUAUGAAGCAAUAAGAGCCUUCAGCAGGAUGAUGACAGUAUAGUAUAAAAGAGACAAAACUAGCUAGACUUUAAGGUACAUUGAAUACUAGAAUUGGAGUCAUGAACACCUUUGUUCAAAAAAUCAUUUAUAGAUAAUGACAAUAAUAGCACUCGUCUUACAGAAUUGUUAUGAGGAUUAAAUAAAUCGACAUAUACAAAGUACUUCACCCUGAAGUGCUGUAUAUGUGAAAGAUUAUUAUUAUACAAUGUUAUUAUAGAUACUUUGAAGGUAAAAAUGAUAGGAGAUAGUCUCAAAUUGGGUAUGGAAGAGUAAAAAAGGUAAGGAACUGAGGAUAACAUUUUGACUACGAGCUUGAGUUACUGAGAGGAUAAUCGUGUUCUCAAUAGGAACAGAGGAAAGUUUUUUUGGGAAAGACAAUGAGUUCUAUUUGGGGCAUAUUGAGUUAAAGUAUAUGGAACAUUCAUUAUAAGAAGUCUAAUAGGUGUCUGGAGAUGCAAGAGUGGCAGUCAGGAGAGAGGUUAAUAUUAGAUAACUAGAACUGAGAAACAUAACCAUAAAUAUAGUUAUUUAAAUCCAUGGUGAGUACUGAGAACAACAAAGUAUUUAGGGAGAAUAGAAGUAGGCCCAGGAUAGAUUCUUGCGGAAGAAUUAUAGUUAGAAAGUUAAAAAAAAAUCUGAAAGGAAAUCUAAUAAAGAAAUAUGAGAAUUGGUCAAAGAAGCAGAAGAGUGUCACAAAAACAAAUAGAGAAAAAAAUUAUAAAGGAAAAGAAGGUUAUCAGUAAUGUCAGAAAGUUCAAGAAGGAUAAGGAUUUAUAAAAAGCCAUUAGAUUUUAAAAUUAAAAGAUCAUUGGUAACUUUAAAGAAAACAGUUUCAAUUGAAUAAUGAUGCCAGAAACUAGUUUUUAGAGAAUUAAGAAGACAGUGCAAGGAAGAAAAGGUAAGUUACUGAUUAUAAAUGACUUUCUGAAGGAAUUUGACCACAAAAGGGAAGAUAUAUGAUAACAGCUAAAAGAGAUGAACAGAUCAGUAGAUGCUGGAUUUUUUUUUUUAAUGGUUAGGGAGUCAUGGGUCUAUUUCUAGACAGUAAGAAAGCAGAACGUAUACAAGGAAAUAUUGAAGGUAGUGAAAGAGGAAAGUUAAAGGGAGAUAAUUUUUUUAAUAGCCUUUUAUUUACAGGUUAUAUGCAUGGGUAACUUUACAGCAUUAACAAUUGCCAAACCUCUUGUUCCAAUUUUUCAUCUCUUACCCCGCCCACCCCCUCCCCCAGAUGGCAGGAUGACCAGUAGAUGUUAAAUAUAUUAAAAUAUAAAUUAGAUACACAAUAAGUAUACAUGACCAAAACGUUAUUUUGCUGUACAAAAAGAAUCAGACUCUGAAAUAUUGUACAAUUAGCUUGUGAAGGAAAUAAAAAAUGCAGGUGGGCAUAAAUAUAGGGAUUGGAAAUUCAAUGUAAUGGUUUUUAGUCAUCACCCAGAGUUCUUUCUCUGGGCGUAGCUGGUUUAGUUCAUUACUGCUCCAUUGGAAAUGAUUUGGUUGAUCUCAUUGCUGAGGAUGGCCAGGUCCAUCAGAACUGGUCAUCAUAUAGUAUUGUUGUUGAAGUAUAUAAUGAUCUCCUGGUCCUGCUCAUUUCACUCAGCAUCAGUUCGUGUAAGUCUCUCCAGGCCUUUCUGAAAUCAUCCUGUUGGUCAUUUCUUACAGAACAAUAAUAUUCCAUAAUAUUCAUAUACCACAAUUUAUUCAGCCAUUCUCCAACUGAUGGGCAUCCAUUCAGUUUCCAGUUUCUAGCCACUACAAAAAGGGCUGCCACAAACAUUCGUGUACAUACAGGUCCCUUUCAAAGGGAGAUAAUUUAUGGGAGAAGAGGGUUGUUUUGACAAGAACACAAGGAGAGGAGUCUCCUUCAUAUAAAAUAGGAGUGAAUCUUAGUAGCAGCAAGAAGGGUAAGAUGGGAGAAAUGAAGGAUUUACAUGAUUUACUUUUUUUUUUCCAGCAAAAUAUUAAGCAAAGUUGUUGCAUGAGCAGGAGGUAGGAGAAGAAACCAUAGAAGAUUUGAAGAUGAAUUAAAAGAUAUGGAAAAAUUCCAUGGCAAGUGAGAUAACAAUCAGUUAGAGAGGUGUUCAUGGAUUGCCUUGUCUCCAUAAGAAUGAAGUUCAGGUUAUGUAACUUAAAUUUAUAAUGACUCUAGUUCAAUUUCAUCCCCCUCCCCCUGUUAUUCCCUGAAUAAAAUUAUUAUAGUCCCAUCCCACCCCCUUUGUUUUGCCAUUAGCACUGAGAGAAUUGAUAAUGAAAAACCUUGAAGCUCUGGCCACUUUAUAUUCCAUUGUAUCAUAAAAUCCAGGUGCAUUAUCUCAAUCCUUGCUAGGAUAAUUCCUUCUCCAUUUGAGUAUUGCCCCUUGCCUCAUGGUCUCCUGCCCUCGACCUUAUCUUCACUCAUCCCAUCAGGAUUAAGUUAUGAUCCUUUCCUGGAAUUAUGGCUUGUCUGCUAAUCCAGUGUCCUCACCCCUCCUCCCCAUCUACCUUUCUUUCCCUUAUAAGAUUGUAUACUCAGGUUAUUCUAUUUGCAAACACUAAUUAGCUAUAAAAGUUUCUUGCUUCAGUUCCUCAGUGUUGAAUGAUUUUUGAACAUGAGUUCCAUUAGGCUGGCUAGCCUAAAAUCUUCACAUUAAAAAGAUUAAAAACUAAUCUCUGUUUUGCCUCAGUUUCUCUGACAUUACACCCCAAUUUCGCUGAACAACAUGAAUUUGAAAAAGGCAGUAGAUUGUGAAUAGGAAUAAUCCAAGGUUGAAUCUCAUCAAGGUAUGAUCAGUGAUAGGAUAAUAGGACAUGGGACUUAAUUGACAGUUAUAGUGUAGAAGUGAAAUGGAUCACCAAGGGGUCACAAUGGGGAAGGGAUGAGUAUUGUAUAUUCAGGAGUGAUGGACUAGAAAGAAUUUAGUGACUGAAGAAUGGGAAAUCAUAGUGAGUAGGAAAAACAGGGUUAGGGAUCAUAAGGCAAAAGAGGAGAUGUAAUGAGAAAAUACUAUCAGGUAAGGGAAAUUCAGAGUUCAUGAAGAUGGAAUUAGAAUACAUAUAGGUUAUGUCAAGAUCAUAGGUAUGAGAUGGGCUGGUGAAGUAAGUCAUGGAGUAAAUUGAGGUACUAAGAAAUCAGAAAGGAGUAAUAAUGUUGAAUGUAGAAGUUUUUUAGUAUGAGAAAAAGAAUUGAAAAAGACUGAAAGAGAAUGAGUCAAACAUUGAACUCAUUGAGGUAAGAAGAUCAUCUUGGAAGCUGGCAGAUAAUACCUAAGAAAAUCUUCAUCGAUAGAAAUAGAUUGAAUUUUCAAAGGAGUAAAAGUUUCUGAAUAGUAGUAACAGAGGGGAAUUUUGGAAGUAGAAAUUGGGAGUAAUUGGUAUUCCCACUUCCCCCAUCCUGAUCAGUAAGUGGGAAUGAUGAUGUGGAGUAUGAAACAUCUGUGUGACAAUAUAACCAGAUCUGGAAAAGAGGAAACUCAGGUCUCAAUGACUACAAUGAUAUGGAGUAAAGGCCUGGGGGGGUGGGAAGGGGAGGAGAGAGGGAAGAUAAAACCUAGUUUAUUAUAUGAGUAACAGGCAUUUCAGAAAGGAGUGGAUAAAUGAGGAAACCAAGCAUCAAGAAGAAGCAGGUCAACCAGAAUGGGAAUAAGGGAUCUGGCAGUGGAAAAUGGGGAAUGGGGAUUAUAGGAUUCUAUAGAAUUUUUAUAGGAUUCUAGAGUUCACAGUCACUGAGUUAGGGAGAUGUGAUGGGCAUAAGAUUAUCUAAACAUUAUAGAAUGAGUGCUGACAGAUUAUCAAUGACUGGAAAAAAUCCAUUGAUAGAGGGAUAUAAUUGGAUUAUUCAUGACCCUCCCUCAUUAUCCAAACUUCUGGAAGUUGAUGAUUGAGUGCUGUGAGACUCAGGAGGCCUGCUCUAAAACAGGCAAGAACAGGUAAAGGUAUAACCUGGGUGACUUCAGACAGGAAGAAGGAGUGUUAAAUCAAGGGACUAGAUCUGUAUAAUUUAUUAUAAUAGUAUCUUAGAAUACUUAGUGUUUAAAAUUUCAGUUCACUUAAAAACUAUGUCUAUUAACUAACAUUUUUCUCCCUCUUGAUUUUUGUUGUAUCUAAACAAAAUUACAAUGACUAGUUGAAAAAAAAAGUCAAACAGUUUUUUCUGGACAUUGCCACAGAAUAAUUCUGCCAUAUUUUCCCCCAACAGAAUUGAUUACUUUUUGGCAAAGGUCAGAUACAACCUUAAUCCUCUUUUUUUUUUUUUUUCUCAAGCUCCUUAGACAUUCAUUGUUCCUAUCUGUCUCAUUUGUAGGCAAAGUCUUAUCUCAAAGAUCAUAUCUGUCCCAAGCUUUCUACUUCUUAAAUCUUUAAAGUUUCUUAAAGUUAAAUCAAGAAUAAUGAAGUUUGUAUAAGACAGGUACCACAUGCCACAAAACAUGAAUUAAUUUUAAAUCCCCUUUUGAGGUAUUGGACAAGUUUUUAUUCCUUGCACAUUUUUAGGAACAUGAUCUCAGGUUCAUUUGACUUAUUUCCUUAUCUCUUUUGUUUAAUCAUUGCUUGUCCUAUAUAGGGUGUAGACAAGUGCAUACAUCUUGAUGAAUAGUGCAUGCUGAUGAAUGAAAGAAUGCAUGGAAAAAUGGAAGGAUGAAAUUUAUUAAUUUCAUAAUAUGCAAAAUAUUCUAUAAUAAACAUUCUGUAAUAACCGCUGGGGGUGCAAAUAGAAAAAGUAAUACAGUCCCUUCACUUAAGGAACUUAUAUUUUAAGGAGAAGACAUAUAUAAAAGAUUUCAGAGAUAAGCCAGAUGGAAAAAAUCCAUGUCUCUUAUCGUGUACCAGAAUAUGAUGUCUCUUGUUUAAUGAAAUUGUUUAUUUCCACUAUUCCUAAGGUGUUUGGGUUCAUAGUCCUGGACUAUCCCUACUGAAGGGAGAUGAUAGUCAAGAUACUGCUAGUAGCCGAGUGGUUUGAUUUGCUUGAUACUUUCUGGUCCCUGCCUCUUUUUCAGGAUGUCUUGCUGUUUCACUUAGACUAGUUUGCCUUCUCUGUGUAUCAGGAGUUUCACAUUGGGAGGGAUAGAUGGUUUUCUUUCUACACAGGUUGCUUCCCUGAGUGAUGACUGUGUAGGUGAACUAAUAGCAGGAAUGGUGAUCUAAGGAUACAAGGUAACUGCCCAGGCUCUUGUGACUGUUAUCCAUUGGUGGAGGUGGGCCACCACUUGUUGCUAGUGAAUAGAAUAGGAAAAUAUUGUGACCAUAUCUGCAUCUACUUAUAUGCCUACGAAUUUAUCCAAUAGCCAUGAUUUUUAUAGAUUAUUUUAAAAAUACUCAAGGAGGAAGACAAGAUAAGAAUACUUGAAAGAUUUGAAUUCUACCUAUUGUAGAAACAGAUCGUUUUCUUCAGGCUUUUUUUUUUUUUUUUUUUUUGACUAAUCAACAGAUUAUAAUUAUAUAUAGGGUACAUACUCUUAACAUUUAGAGGAAGAAAUAUUUUAGACUAUUUUCUUAACCAUCCAGUGGAAACCUCCUAGUCAUAAAGAGACACUUGGAUUUAAAUUUUAGUUUUGCUAUUAACUUCAAUGUUAGUUUGGUCUAAUUAAUUCACUUUUCUGGGUAAACCAAGUCAGAUGAAAUGAUGAACAUUAGGGGGAGAAACAACAACAACAAAAAAAAGUUACAACUACAGAUUUAUCUGGAGAUUUUGCAAACAUCAGAGAGUUUCAAAGAACUUGUGAUUCUUUAACAAUAGAAACAACAGUGCUUAGCACCUAUUUAACAAGAAUUAUUAUAGUAAGCUAUCUAAAGGCCUGCUCCUUUCCUUGCCUCAUGUUAGCAGGGUCAACUUAUUGGACUUACCUGGAUAGACCCUUGCAAUGUCUUUUGUAGCCAACCUCACAAUACUUUUGUGCCUCAGAUUUUUGCAUAAAGCAACCAAUGUCUUUGUUCUAGUAUUAUUUGAUGUCACUUUCCUUGGGGAUGAUUUGUGCUGCCCCAGAUUUUAAAAAAUUGCUAGUUAUUUUUGUGUCUCAACUUUAUUUUUCUUAUCUAGAAAAUAAAAAAAGAAUGGGUUAAAAUAUUUGCGAUGACCUUUUAAUCUCCAAUUAUCUUUAAUUCUAAUAUUUUUCUCCUGUAGAUGAGAAAUUCAAUUAAGUCUCUAGCAUAGCUUUAAAUCUGAAUUACAAGUAGGACAUCAUUUUUUUUAACUUAGGUACUUUGAUAAUGGAGGCAUCAAAAUGAAAAUUUGCUGUAGAGUCACUUAAAAUUUUGGUAUUUCUAUUUUCCUUCUUCCACAAACUACAGAAGUGAUAGAUUUUUCUUCUUGCUUACUCUUGUAAUAGUCAUUUCUAUAUAAAAAUAUGAAUAGACUCCAAUCUGGGAAUAUUUUUUUUCCACAUUUGAAAUGAUUGAAAUCCUAUGAAAAAAGAAAAGUUGAUGGCAAAAAACACCUGUUUUUUUCUGGUUUCUUUUGAGCAAAAUAAAAUUUUGGAAACAACUCCUCAAACAAUGACGCAAACAAAAGAACAAAAUUGUUAAAGUGAAAGCAGCUGCCCAUAACCAUAUCCAAAAUCUGAGAAGCAAAUCGUUUUCAGAUAUACUCUAACUUGAAUCCAUAAUCAGAAUCAAAUUAUUAUCAGAUAUACAAGAACUUGAGCAUAUUAAAAGAAUGGAAAGAAAUAACAACUUGCACAUAUUCAUUGACAUGAGUUAUCCACCGAAAUCCAUUCACUCUGAAGUAUCGAUGGCAUAAAAAGAGUCUUGAAUUCUCAGUUAAUUAAUCAAGCAAAGCAAGAAGCUUUUAUAGAGAGAUCAUUAUAUACCAGACAUUUUGCCAUGGAUUGAGAUUGCAAAGACAAACAUCAAAAAAUCAAUUAGAAACAUACUGGCUUAGGACAGACCACAACUGUGAGGUUCUAAAAACUGUAGUGUCUACAUGACUUUAGAAAAAAAUGAUAAAUAUAUGAAAUGUGGAGAUAGAAAUGACAAGACUCGAUUGAUUGGAUAUAUUUAUUGAAUGAGAGAAAAUGAGGAGUUUGGGAUAUAGAACAUUCAGUGGAAAAUGUUCAAAUGGCAAUUGGUCAUGUAGGUUUAAAGUUUAAGAUAUAUAGAUAUGAAAAUUAUAUGUAGAGGAAUGAUGAUUAAACCUUGGGAUUAUUUAUAUUUAUAUAUUUAUAUUUGUGUGCCUAUACAUAUUUAUGACUAUAGUAUGGGAAAUCAUUUAUUAAGGAGUAGCACAUAUGCCUAUAGAAUAACAUAUUUUUAAAGUAAAUUUUAAGUUGAGGACUAUUUGAAGUCUAUAUGUUUUAUUUUGUUUUUCAGAUAUUAAGAUGGAAAGUUAUAAAAUACAAACUUUUAGUGUAAUAAAACCAAGUUCCUCUUUGUUUUAUUCCCAGUUUAAUUUUAAGAAUAUUUCAUGGUAAAAAUGAAAUUGGAUGAAAAUAGUAACUAGAAUGUGACUUCAUUGAAAAAAGGAAUUAUUUUGUGUUUUUCUCUUUAUAUCCCUCAUGCCUAGUAGAGUGUCUUAAAUAUAGCAUAAAUAAAUACUUGUUGGAUUCAAUUUUAAAAUUAAAUGUUAACACAAUACCUAGUAUAAUAUUACUUGCCUUCUCAUUGACUGAGGUGAGAGGUAGGGGGCAGAGAGAGAAUUUAGAAUUCAAAAUUAAAAGGAAAAAUAACAAAUGCUGUGAAAAUCUUUCUAUAUACCCUUCUUGCUCCCAUUUUUAGGAAGCUACUUCAAAUUACAAAGUUAAACCUUUUUCUUUCUCCAGUACUUAUUAUAAAUAUCAGUCUGACCACUAACUUAACAACUAAAAAGUUCGGGUAUAAAGAAUAAAUGUUACUUACACCAGUAAUGUCAAACUCAGAAGGAUCUCUGGGCCCAUAUAUUGACUUAGAAAAUUUCAUAUUAACAUUAUCUAUUUUGUUGCAUUUUGAAAGCUAAUUUCCAGUUAUAUUUUAAUCUUGUUCUAACUGCAACAUAGACUGCUGUGAUUUGCAGUGUAGCCAAUGACAGUGUUUUUGAUACUUCUUUACACUAUGUGCUAACAGACACCACGUGUUGUUUGCAAAAUCAGCAAGAUGAUGUUAUGAAUGAAUUCAGAGUGAUGUGCAACUAACUGGGAUUUAGUCAAAUAAUUGACAUUAUAUGUGUGUGUGUAUGUAUUUAUAAACACAAAUAUUUACAUAUAAGCAUUUAUGUAUCAAUAUAAAAUAUUUUAAAUGAUAUAUUCCUAUAUAAAUUUUUAUAUACAAUUUUAUUCCACCUUAUAUUUUUUACAACUUCAAAAAAUCUAAUAUGUAAUUAAUUUAUCAUCUUUUCCCCCCAAUUGUUUAUUUUAGAUAAUUUAUCUUUAAUUUUUAUAAUUUUAACAAUUUUUAAUUCUUCAUAAUGAAAACAUACUUUAUCACAUUAGGUAUUAACCAUGUAUCUAAUUAACAGUUCAUUUCACCAUCCCCAUCCUUGUUCAAGCAUAGUUUGUCCUACAGCUCAUAGAUUUUCUUUAAGUAUUAAAUAAGAUGAUUGAAGAAUGUAUUUCUCCAUCUCUUGAAAAAAAUUCUUAAUCGUUAAUAACAUAUAGCAUGAGAGAUAAUAAUGUUGCAUUGUUUGAUUUUCAUUUGAAAAUUUCUGUAAUUCUGGACUGGAGGAAUCUGCUUUUAAGUAUAUCAAUAUAUUUAUCAAAGUUUAUUAUUCCUUUAAUAUGUAGGCCCACAAGUAAUUAAAAAAAGAAAAAGAAAACACAUUUUGGGGAUGAAGGUAUUGUGGCUUAAGGAGAAUGCACAGACUAUAUAGCCUCACUUGGACUUUUUCUAAUAUUAGUUUUUUAUAUAGUUUUGAAUGAAAAAAUGAGUUUCAUUAGUAAAAAUGACCAUAUCUUUAGUAUUUUAAUACCUUGUUUAGUAACUUUUUCAUGUUAAAUGUUUUUCCUUCAUAAAUGUUUUCUUCUUAGCAAUGGCUAGUGAAUAAUGUGUAUGGAGAUGUUUUCCUGUUAUUCUUAAUAUUCUUAUAACUUCAAGAAGUUAAUACCAUAUCAUAGAGCAAUUAGGAAAAACCCAUCUAUCUACUAGAUGCUUCUGAAGGACUUUAUUUUCUGAGGUUCAAUUAAGUUGUUUCACAGAAAUAGUUGCCAGUUCUUUUAUAACUUCUUGACUUCUCUAUACCAGUAGACACUGAUAUAUUUCUAAUAUUUCAAUAUUUCUAGUCAUUGAAGAAUGCUAUUUGAGGUGUGUAAAUUUUGCAUAUUUUCUUAAAACAAUUUGAAUUCUUAAAAACCACAGAAUAAAAUCACAGUGAAAGAGAAUGAUGAUGUAAAUGUGUAUGUAAUGAAACCUACCAUUCAGCUGAAGUGAGGAAAACAACUAAGCCAGGUUUCUUCUAGUUCAGAUUAGAAUUUCUAAAUGAAUUUACUUUCAAUAGAAGCAUAUAUGAUUCAUUUCUCCUGUCAUUAAAAUCAAACUAUAUCAAAAUUAUUGUAUGUCCUUUAUAAUUUAAAAUUGCCUUAUUUAAAUUUAAAAUUUAAAAAUGACCUUUAAAAUUAAAGUAAGAAUAAAGUUAGGUUGCUCAAUAAAUAACAUUCAUUUUCUAAACUUUGGCUAGUAAUACCACUUUUACAAGAAAAUUUAAAAAAGAAACAGGUAGAUGUAUGGUAAUAUUUUUACAAUAAUGUUCACUGUUCAGAUUUAUAGUUAGUAAUUUAGCUUCAUGUAAGCCUUAUUGCCUAUGAAUAAGGUUUCUCAUUUUAGUGUUCUGGUAUGCAUUAUGCAUCAUUUUUUUUAAAAAAUUGAAUAUAUUUUUUUUCAAAAAAGGCAAAAUUGGAGACUAUUGCAUGGAUUAAAUAAAAAAAAACAAAAUAUUAAGACACACACACCAAAAUAUAAUUUCGUCUAAUAUUUGUCUCUUUUUUAUAUUUAUAAACUAACAUAACAAAUGUUUUCACAGUAAUUUAAUAAAUAUCUUUUAAAUGUUUUUGUUUUUUUGAAACUCUUGUACUAAAAGGCUCACAACACACACACACCAAAAAAACCUUCAAUUGAAAGGAUUUCUCACAUAGUCCCCACCUGGAAAAUCUGGAAAAUCACUAUCUGACACAACUCCGUAUCCUGACACCAGUUCUUACUCACACAAUCAAUAGAAAGGAAGGCUUUUGGAAAAAUAUCAAUUGCUCACAGGUAAGCUGAGCUAAUAUAAUUAAAAUGACAAUUCUACCUAAAUUGGUCUGUUUAUUCAGUGAAAGUUUAUUCAAACUUUCAAAAAAUUAUUUUUUAGAGCUAGAAAAAACAAUAACAAAAUUCCUCUGGAAGAACAAAUGGUCAACAAUAUCAAGGAAAUUAAUGGGAAAAAUAUAUAAAAGAUGGUAGCCUAGAAAUAGCAGACUCUAUUAUAAAGCAUCAAUCAUCAAAACCAUUUGGUACUGGCUAAGAAAUACAAUGAUGGAUCAGUAGAAUAGAUUAGAUACAUACAACACAAUAAUCAAUGACUAUAGUAAUGUAGUAUUUGAUAAACCCCCAAACUCCAACUUCUGGGUUAAGAAUUCAUUAUUUCAUAAAAAUUGUUGAGAAAACUGGAAAAUAAUAUGUCAGAAACUCUGCAUAGACCUGUAUCUCACAUCCCAUACCAAAAUGAGGAAAAAUGGGUAUGUGAUUUGGGUAUAAAGGGUAAUACCAUAGCAAAUUAGGAGAGCAAGGAAUAAUUUACCUCUCAGAUAUUUGGAGAAGGGAGGAAUUUCUGACUAAAGAAGAACUAAAGAACAUUAUAAAAUUCAAAAUAGACAACUUUGAUUAUAUUAAAUUGAAAAAAUUUUUGCACAAACAAAACUAACAGAAAUAAGAUUAAAAGGGAAGGACAAAAUUGGGGAAAAUUUACAGUCAGUAUAUAUGAUAAAGGUCUCUUUUCUAAAAUAUAUAAAGAACUGUUUCAAAUUUAUAAGAUUACAAAUCAUUCCCAAAUUGUUAGUCAAAGGAUAUGAACAGACAACUUUCAGAUGACAAAAUUAAAGCUAUCUAUAGUCACACGAAAAAAUAUUCUAAAUCACUAUUGAUUUAGAUGGAAAUUAAAUUAAAGCAACUCUGAGGUACCAUCUCAUACCUCUCAAAUUGGAUAAGAUUACAGGAAAAGAUAAUAAAUGUUGGAGGGGAUGUGGGAUAACUCGGACACUAAUGCAUUGUUGGUGGAGUAGUGAAAUGAUCCAACUAUCUUUAAAAGUAAAGAGCUCCAAAACUGUGCAUAUAGUUUGACUCAGCAGUGCCAAUACUGGGUCUGUAUCCCAAGGAAAUCAUAAAGAGGGAAAAGGACCCACAUGUGCAAAAAUGUUGUAGAGGGUCUUUUUGUGGUGGCAAAGAAUUGGAAAAUGAGUACAUGCCCAUUAGUUGGGAAUGGCUGAAUAAAUUAUGGUAUAUGAAGAUAAUGGAAUUUUAUUAUUCUAUUAAAAAUGAUGAACAGGCUGAUUUUAGAAAAGCCUGGAAAGGUUUACAUCAACUGAUGCUUAGUAAAAUACAUAGAACCAGAAAUACAUUGCAUACAAUAACAGCAAGAUUGUACAAUAAUCAACUAUGAAAGAAUUGGUUCCUCUCAGUGGUUCAGUAACCCAAGGAAAUCCCAACAAGUUUUGGAUAGAAAAUGCCAUCCAAAUCCAGAAAAAGAAUUAUGAAGAUUAAAUGUAAAUCAACACAUGCCACGUUCAUUUCUUUUUUCUGUAUUUUUUCCUCUUCAGUGUUUUUUUUUUCCUUUUUGUUAUGAUUGUUCUUUCUCAACAUAAUUCAUAAAGAAUUGUGCAUUUAAAGUUUUUUAAAGUGUUUUCAUCAUAUCCAGAUGGAACUUUCAGUUGAAAGAUAUUACCAUGAAAUACAGGUUUUAAAACAAAAACAAAAGAAGAAAAGAAAGCUGUUCCCAACCACUUAGUAGACCAAAGAGAGCCAUGUCCACCAGAAUUGAUCAUCAUAAUUUUGUUGCCAUAUAUAAUGACCUCUGUUCUGGUCAUUUCACUUAGCAUCAGUUCAUAUAGUUCUCUCCAAGCUUCUUUGAAACCAUCCUGCUGGUCAUUUCUUAUGUAACAGUAAUAUUCCAUAGCAUUCAUAUACCAUAAUUUAUUCAGCCAUUUUCCAGUUGAUGGGCAUCCACUCAAAUUUCCAGUUUCUUGCACUACAAAGAGGGCUGCCACAAACAUGUUUGUUGGUCCCUUUCCCUCUAAGAUUUCUUUGGGAUAUAAUCCCAGUAGAAAUACUGUUGGAUCAAAGGGUAUGCAUAGUUUGAUAAUUUUUUGAGCAUAGUUCCAAACUACUCUCUAGAUUAGUUGGAUCUGUUCACAGGUCCACUAACAAUGUCAGUAUCUCAAUUUCCCACAUCCCCUCUAACAUCCGUCAUUAUUGUUUCCUGUCAUCUUAGCCAAUCUGACAGGUGUGUAGUAGUAUCUCAAAGUAGUCAUAAUUUGCAUUUCUCUGAUCAAUAAUGAUUUGACUUUUCAUAUGACUACAAAUAGUUUCAGUUUCUUGUCUGUUCAUAUCCUUUAACCACUAAUCAAUUGGAGAAUGGCUUGAACUAUUAUAAAUAGAGUCAAUUCUUUAUAUAUUUUAGAAAUGAGGCCUUUAUCAGAUCCUUUGGAUGUAAAAAUGAUUUUGCAGUUUAUUUCUUCCCUUCUAAUCUUGUCUUCAUUAAUUUUGUUUGUACAAAUCUUUUUAAGUUAAUACAAUCAAAAUUAUCUAUUUUGUGAUCAAUAGUGACCUCUAAUUCUUCUUUGGUCACAGAUUCCUUUCUCCUCCACAAAUCUGAGUGUAAACUAUCCUAUACUCUUCAAAUUUCUUUAUAAUAUCAUUCUUUAUAUCUAGAUUAUGAACCCAUUUCGACCUGAUCUUUCUAUACAGUGUUAUCUAUACGUAUAUGCAUAAUUUCUGACAAAUUAGUUUUUGUCAAAUAGUGAAUUCUUAUCCCAAAAGCUGGGGCCUUUGGGUUUGUCAAACACUAGAUUGCCAUAGUCACUGAUUAUUUUGUUCUGUGGAGUUAACCUAUCCCACUGAUCAACUUCUCUGUUUCUUAAACAGUACUAUAUGGUUUUGAUAACUGCUGUUUUAUAAUAGAUAGAUCUGGUACAGCUAGAUCACUUUCAUUUGCUUUUCUCUUCAUUAAUUCCUUUGAAAUUCUUCAUCUUUUUUUCUUCCAGAUGAAUUUUGUUAUUAUUUUUUCUAGAUCAGUAAAAUAACUUCUUAGGAGUUUGAUUGGUAUAGCACUAAAUAAAUAGAUUGGUUUAGAUAGUAUUGUUUUCUUUAUUAUACUUGCUCAACCUAUCUAAGAGCACUUGAUAUUUUUCCAAUUGCUUAGAUCUGACUUUAUUUCUGUGGAAAGUGUUUUGUAGUUUUGCUUAUAUAGUUCCUGACUUUCCCUUGGCAGAUAGAUUCCCAAAUAUUUUAUAUUAUUGACAGUUAUUUUAAAUGGAAUUUCUCUUUGAAUCUCUUGCUAUUGGGUUUUGUUAAUGAUGUAUAAGAAUGCUGAUGAUUUAUGUGGAUUUAUUUUGUAUCCUUCAACUUUCCUAAAGCAUGAAAUGUUUCAGAGAUUUUAAGAUAAGGAUUAAACAAAAACAACUGGAUAUGUUAAUUGAAAAAAUUUUGGAUACUUAGGCUGAAUGAUGAACACUGCAGUCUAGUGGCUGAUAGUUGUGUGUGUGUGUGAGUGAGAGAGAGAGAGAGAGAAGAAAGGAGAAGUGGAAGUCAUUAGUGUAGACAGCUUUAUCAGUCUGACCCUGAAGAGUUAUACAGUGAUAUAGCUGAUGGGAAUGAAAGAACUAAGUGUUUUUUUUUUUAAAGAAUGGUUAAAAUACUUCUUAGCCCUUCAUAUCUUCUUCAUCAAAGUGAUUUUGAACUUAUAGCUACUGAUAUACAAACUCCAUUUCCAUCAACUGGUCACACCCAUUUCAACUUCCUUAUCUGGCUUCAUUUCACUAUGUCAUGUGACAUGCCUGAUCUAUAAGGAAAAAACAAAAAUAAAUAAACAAACAAAAACACUUACUUAUAUAUUAAAUUUCUUCCUUUCACAUCCCUUCCAAUAUUUGGAAAUCCCUGAAAUAGGUCUCUUUCCAUAUGCUUUCAUAAAUAAGUAGUCCAAUAUGCGCUACACUUUCUCUCAUUAUCCCAACUCAUUGGUGACUAUAGGGAAUUUCAACUUUCCUUACUCCCAUUUCCAUUUCCAUAGCUUCCCUUUAUCACAAUUACUGAGUAACUUCUUUGAAGUUUAUACUAUACAAUUUUAUCACCAAAUCUAUAUUAUUGACCAAUCCCCAGCAUAGCUUUCAUUUUUCCAAUCAUGAUUUUAGUGCUUGGUUCAGUCUUUCCUCUUUAAAUUUUUCUGUACUGCAAGUAAAAUUAAAUAUCAUGUAGAUUUUCUCUCAAAUAUUUGAACUUCCUAGUUACUCAAUCUACUCCAUUCCAUAGUAGAUUGUUUCACUAAUCAUUUGCAUUCUUGCACUUAUCUAUUAUCUCUUCUUUUAGACAACUUGUUGCCCAAAAGAGUGCUAGGCAGACGUCAGAGAGACCUGGACUCUCUGUGUGAUUUCAGGAAAGUCACUUAACUGAGCCAAACCUCAGUUUCCUCAUCUAUAAAAUGGGGGAUAAUUAUAAUACCAAUUUUACACAGUUAUUAUGAGUAAGUUUUGAUGGGAAAGGAAAACAGAUUAGCAAACUACUUAGCAAAUGUUUAUAUUGGUGGCUUUUUUCUUAUCUAAACUUAUUAUUUCACCAAUGUGAGAAGCUUGUAAAGAUUAGCAACUGUUCUAAAACUUAUCAUUUUAGAAAAUCACUCAGUGUACAGAGAGGGCAUAAUUUGGUCAUAUCAAAGAAUAAAAUAUAACAUUGUUUUCACAUGUCAGAUUUAUGUGCAAUGUUCUGGUAUUUUUAUUUAUUGCAUUUGCUAAUGUUAUGACUAAGUUAAAAAGAAAAAGGAAAUGUUGAAGAAUAAAUUAUGUGCCUAAAUGUUACCUUUUCCUUUUUGGCAACUUUUAUUGUAGACUCUUUGUUCAAAGAAAACCACAUGAAUUAUACUGGAGAAAUUGCAAUGAACAAACUUCUUUUUUCUCUAACAAAGUUUUCCCAUGACCUUAAAAAUUCAGGAUAUUGGGGAUAUAGACUCUACCAAAAUUACAAGAAGUUGAAUUUUACACAACUUUUCCUCGAUGUUUACCUCAUUUUGAUAUCAGAUGAGCAAACACCUAAUUAAUCACUAAAGUCCAUGAUAGGAUUCCAUUCUUUGGAUAUCACUAGGAUGCCAAACAAACACAGACAUGAGAAAUAUUUAGAAAAUUAAGUUAUGAUAAAGUAUAAUACAUUUCAUAAGUUUUUGAGGAUAUAAUUUACCAAAUGCAACAUAGCUAAAAUUAUCAAUAUUAAUUUCUUAAGUGGCUUUCUAUUUGGUCUCCUUUUCCCAUCAAAACAGUAUCUAUUCUUACAGGGUUUAAAAUAAGGUUAAAUAAUAACUUAACAGUCUUUACAAUGUAUUGACAGUA